GUCAUUUAGAGGAAGUAAAAGUCGUAACAAGGUUUCCGUAGGUGAACCUGCGGAAGGAUCAUUACCGAAUUGUCAACAAGAGUUGUUGCUGGUCCUCAAACGGGGGCAUGUGCACGCUCUGUUAACACAUCCACUCACACCCUGUGCACCCUNUGUGGUUCUGUGGUUGGGGGGGCCUUCGUCCUCCUGCCGUGGUUCCACAUCUUUACACACACACUGUAACAAAGUCUCAUGGAAUGCAUAUGCGUUUAACGCGAUACAAUACAACUUUCAGCAACGGAUCUCUUGGCUCUCGCAUCGAUGAAGAACGCAGCGAAAUGCGAUAAGUAAUGUGAAUUGCAGAAUUCAGUGAAUCAUNGAAUCUUUGAACGCACCUUGCGCCCUUUGGCCAUUCCGAAGGGCAUGCCUGUUUGAGUAUCAUGAACACCUCAACUCUUCAUGGUUUUCUGUGAUGAGCUUGGACUUUGGGGGUUUUGCUGGCCUAUGGCCGGCUCCUCUAAAAUGAAUCAGCUUUCCAGUGUUUGGUGGGCGUCACAGGUGUGAUAACUAUCUACGCUUGUGGUUUUCCCACCAGGUAACCUUCAGCAGUGGAGGUUC
rnacentral:sRNA from 1 species